rnacentral:rRNA from 1 species
AUUGAACGCUGGCGGCAUGCCUUACACAUGCAAGUCGAACGGCAGCGGACCUUCGGGUGCCGGCGAGUGGCGAACGGGUGAGUAAUGUAUCGGAACGUACCUUUCAGUGGGGGAUAACGUAGCGAAAGUUACGCUAAUACCGCAUAUUCUGUGAGCAGGAAAGCAGGGGAUCGCAAGACCUUGCGCUGAUUGAGCGGCCGAUAUCAGAUUAGCUAGUUGGUGAGGUAAAGGCUCACCAAGGCGACGAUCUGUAGCGGGUCUGAGAGGAUGAUCCGCCACACUGGAACUGAGACACGGUCCAGACUCCUACGGGAGGCAGCAGUGGGGAAUUUUGGACAAUGGGGGCAACCCUGAUCCAGCCAUGCCGCGUGAGUGAAGAAGGCCUUCGGGUUGUAAAGCUCUUUCGUCCGGGAAGAAAUCGCAUCAGCUAAUACCUGGUGUGGAUGACGGUACCGGAAUAAGAAGCACCGGCUAACUACGUGCCAGCCGCCGCGGUAAUAC